CGCGGCCUAUCAGCUUGUUGGAGAGGUAACGGCUCACCAAGGCAUCGACGGGUAGCUGGUCUGAGAGGAUGAUCAGCCACACUGGAACUGAGACACGGUCCAGACUCCUACGGGAGGCAGCAGUAGGGAAUCUUGCACAAUGGGCGAAAGCCUGAUGCAGCGACGCCGCGUGGGGGAUGAAGGCCUUCGGGUUGUAAACCCCUUUCAGUAGGGACGAAAAUGACGGUACCUACUGAAGAAGCUCCGGCCAACUACGUGCCAGCAGCCGCGGUAACACGUAGGGAGCAAGCGUUGUCCGGAUUUAUUGGGCGUAAAGAGCUCGUAGGUGGUUCGGUAAGUCGGAUGUGAAAACUCAAGGCUCAACCUUGAGACGCCAUCCGAUACUGCUGUGACUUGAGUUCGGUAGAGGAGUGUGGAAUUCCUGGUGUAGCGGUGAAAUGCGCAGAUAUCAGGAGGAACACCGACAGCGAAGGCAGCACUCUGGGCCGAUACUGACACUGAGGAGCGAAAGCAUGGGGAGCAAACAGGAUUAGAUACCCUGGUAGUCCAUGCCGUAAACGUUGGGCACUAGGUGUGGGGAUUUAUCAACGAUCUCCGCGCCGUCGCUAACGCAUUAAGUGCCCCGCCUGGGGAGUCGG
rnacentral:rRNA from 1 species